AAAUGGCCCCGUCCGGGCUGAAGGCGGUGGUGCGCAAGAAGAUCCUCAGCGUUGUCCUUCACAGCGUGAAGAAGGAAAGAGAAUGGAAGGUGCUGAUCAUGGACCACCCCAGCACGCGCAUCCUCUCAUCAUGCUGCAC